CAGCCGCCGCGGUAAUACGUAGGGUGCGAGCGUUAAUCGGAUUUACUGGGCGUAAAGCGUGCGCAGGCGGCCCGUUAAGACAGGUGUGAAAUCCCUGGGCUCAACCUAGGAAUUGCGCUUGUGACUGCGGGCUCGAGUACGGUAGAGGGGGGUGGAAUUCCUGGUGUAGCAGUGAAAUGCGUAGAGAUCAGGAGGAACACCGAUGGCGAAGGCAGCCCCCUGGGCCUGUACUGACGCUCAUGCACGAAAGCGUGGGGAGCAAACAGGAUUAGAUACCCUGGUAGUCCACGCCCUAAACGAUGGGUACUAGCCGUUUGGUGCGCGAUAGCGCUGAGUGGCGAAGCUAACGCGUGAAGUACCCCGCCUGGGGAGUACGGCCGCAAGGUUGAAACUUAAAGGAAUUGGCGGG
rnacentral:rRNA from 1 species